UUUCCCUAUGGCUCCAUUAGGAAGUGGCUGUCUGGCUGUAGGAGGAAGGUGCUCCUGAUCUCACAUGCUGGAGGCUCUGCAGUGGCCCCUGUUGCACAGAGCAACUAAUUCUCUCCCCCUCUGAGAACAGAGAAAAGAUGAUGGGCUAUUUUGUCAGCUCUGGACCCAGCUUCAGGCUGCAGUAGCUUUGACCGUGGCUGGCCCCACUCUUGCUCUGUGCAGAUACAUCAACUGCUUUUGUUUUUUAACCACAUGAGGAAAGAAACUGCUCAGUGAAUGAAGCCAGAUGCACAGGGUUAUGCUGAAGGACCUACAGCCCCUUUGUAAAGAGCUCCAACCAGAAGCUUUGGAAGAGGCACAUAAAACAUUUGUGGAAUUUAUUCCUGGCAAUUAAAGGACACUGACCUGGAGCAGGGCUGAGGAGGUUCCCUGGGCUUUUAUUGACAAGAAUGGGAAGAUCCAGCAACACAGGGCACCAGAGUAGCAGCUGUGAGAAGAGCAUGCCUUCAGAUGUUGGUGAGAAAAGAUGCAAGGCAGAUAAUUCUUACUGGAAACAGAAGGAAAAAAAAACCCCACAACUUCGUGUAUGUUAGCCGUGUAAAAACGAUGAAUGAAAGUGCUGCUUCCUGCCCCCGGGUUGUGACAAACGGAACGGGAAGAAGCACGUUUUGACACAGAAGGGCUGCCCAUCCCGUGCCCUGUGCAUCACCACCGCCGCUCCAAGCAGACGCGGAGCUGAGCACCGGCAGAAGGCGCUGAGGGCACAGCAGGCGCACAGCCCGGAGCGCUGAUCCACGGCUUUGUGCCCGACUCGCGUUUAUUUCCUGCUCACACUGCAUGAAACUGCACCCAAUGCAGGGUCGCAGCCGCACAGCGCCGGGGAUACGGCACAGAGCUUAGAAAUAAUCCUGUCGGAUUUAUGUAACAAAGAGAGGAACGGUUUCAGGUUUUCCACCAAACGCAAACCUUUCUGAGUGCCAAAGUUUCCAGCGGUGAAGAACGUUUGGGUGGACCUUGUGUGUGAAUUAUCUGGGGGCUUGUUAAUUGUGGAAUCCAUCUUUAUGUAUUCUCUGUUAUUCUGUUUCCACCUGGAAGAGUAAAUUAAGACACAGCGUUACCCAAACCACGGACAGCCAAAGCAGGAGAGGGAAUUGAUGUCUAGAGUAAAAUGCUCUAAAUAUCUAAAUGCUCUUAUUCUGCUGCUGGAACCUCUUUCCUAUCAGGUGACAUCACAAGCAGAGAUUUCCCCCUUGGGGACAGGCGGUGUGAUCCCCCGUUUAUCCGGCACUCACCAGCGCAAUUUGCAGCUCAUGGAGUGGAUGGGAAGUAGAGCCCUGCAGAGCAGCUGCCACCGCUGCCAGCUCCAUCCCAGGGCGUCUGCUGCCAUCUGCUGGCAGGCGCGUCAUGCAAAGUGCUGCCAACGGUCCUUCCCUGAGCGCCUCCGCUUCGCAGCUCCUUCACCCACUGCUGCAUCACGCAGACAUCUCCGGUCCUACCCGUGCCCUCACUGCGAGUCCUCUGGGAUAUAAAAAUCCCCUAAAUUAGGGAAAGAUGGAGGGAAUAGGCUGUAAUCUCUGCAGAGGAUCUCAGCUCUUCACGCAUACUUUAUGCUCUUCUUUCUUUUCUUUAUGUUCCCUAACUACAGACAAGCAAUGUGCUCCUUGCACGCCACGU